ACUCUCAUCUGAAGUGGGAUGGAACCACUAUGACACUAUCAAGGAGCUUGAAAGGAAGAGGAAGGAGAGGGCUCAAGCCGUGUACGAGAAGAAGAAGCAGUUGAAUAAGUUAAGGGUCAAAGCCGAGAAGGUUGCAGACGAGAAGCUCGGUCCCCAGUUGCAAGUAAUAGCCCCGACUAAAUACUAGUUUGUUGCAAGAUUUGUGUUAUGGGAGAAUGGAGUUGAGUUGCAUUUGCAUUUUCUUCAUAGCGUGCCAUUUUGUUGUCUAUUCAUGAUGAUGAUGAUUUUGGUCACCAUUUUUCUUAUCCUUUUUAUCUUCGGAUUUUGAAAUUAGUUUAAA